UACGUAGGGGGCAAGCGUUGUCCGGAAUCAUUGGGCGUAAAGAGCGUGUAGGCGGCUCGAUAAGUCUGCUGUGAAAGUCCAGGGCUCAACCCUGGAAGGCCGGUGGAAACUGUCGGGCUAGAGUCCGGAAGAGGCGAGUGGAAUUCCCGGUGUAGCGGUGAAAUGCGCAGAUAUCGGGAGGAACACCGGUGGCGAAGGCGGAUCUCUGGGCCGAUACUGACGCUGAGGAGCGAAAGCGUGGGGAGCGAACAGG
rnacentral:rRNA from 1 species